rnacentral:miRNA from 1 species
UGUGUGUGGAUGUGCACAGAUGUGCAUCAACAAUACAAACAAAACACAUACACACACACACACACACACUUG